rnacentral:rRNA from 1 species
GAUGAACGCUGGCGGCGUGCCUAAUACAUGCAAGUCGAGCGAACAGACGAGGAGCUUGCUCCUCUGACGUUAGCGGCGGACGGGUGAGUAACACGUGGAUAACCUACCUAUAAGACUGGGAUAACUUCGGGAAACCGGAGCUAAUACCGGAUAACAUGUUGAACCGCAUGGUUCAACAGUGAAAGACGGUCUUGCUGUCACUUAUAGAUGGAUCCGCGCCGCAUUAGCUAGUUGGUAAGGUAACGGCUUACCAAGGCAACGAUGCGUAGCCGACCUGAGAGGGUGAUCGGCCACACUGGAACUGAGACACGGUCCAGACUCCUACGGGAGGCAGCAGUAGGGAAUCUUCCGCAAUGGGCGAAAGCCUGACGGAGCAACGCCGCGUGAGUGAUGAAGGUCUUCGGAUCGUAAAACUCUGUUAUCAGGGAAGAACAAAUGUGUAAGUAACUAUGCACGUCUUGACGGUACCUAAUCAGAAAGCCACGGCUAACUACGUG